rnacentral:lncRNA from 1 species
CGUUACGUAGGUGCGCGUGUGCCGCGGCGGUUCGUUACGUAGGUGCGCGUGUGCCGCGGCCGUUCGUUACGUAGGAGCGCGGGUGCUGUGGUGGUUUGCUGCACCUAUUAACCCAUCCUGUUUUGCCUGGCAUUCUGCAGAAGCAUUGCUGUAUCUUACCAGACAGGAAUACAGGCAAUGCUGUGAAGCGUCAGAGGGAAUUCCGUUGGUUACUUUCCCAUACGGUCUUGUUCAGCUGCUUGUUCUCAGAAAAGUGUGUUUGUUGGUGGAGGAGAAUGCGACCAAGGAGACCAUCCUUUUCAUGAAGGCACAAACGUGAAUACAUAUGUGACUUUUAAGCCUUUAAAUAAAAACCCAAAGCACAUUUAUGCCUGUCUUUAUUUCUAAGCAUUCUUCCCUUUUCUUGCUUUGGUGACCCCUGAUUGGCCUUUCACAGGCCUUUGGUUUGCAACCUACCUGGAGUGAGCGUUGA